AGCUUUCGCUUUAUGGUACAAAGAUCUUUUAAAAAUUUUGCAUAAGAUGGAAUCUGCUUAAUGGCAUCUAAUAGAGGAAUGUUAAUCUUUACUUGUUUAAAGAUAUCCAAAAUUUCUUGAUCUGGUACUCCUUUUUUAGCUGCAAGCAAGCGCUGAGGGAAUGGAGCAACUAUUUUAUGAUGAGGUAUUGGAUCAUCUUGUUCAGUAUUAUUUUCAUCCCUUUUCUCAAUGGAUUUUUCAGGUCUGUCAUCCUUCGUUGGAAUUUCUUUGUUAAUUAUUUUUCCGCUCCGGAGGGUUGUGACAGACUUAACUUG
rnacentral:lncRNA from 1 species